AGGGUAUUUAAAAGAUUGCAGCCCUGACUGCGACGAGCUGGAUGCAAGCUCCGGUUGGUGUAGGCAGGGGAGAGAUGGAUAGGGAGAUGACUUUACAUACAGACAACAGUACAGUGGUCAAGACGGCAUUCUAAAAGGACGAACAGCCAAUUACUGAUAUGAGAAAUCGUAAGAACAAUAUCAAACGGAGAUCCCUACAACGUGAAUUGAAGAAUGAAAUCCACUGGCUGUUAUUGUUAUUGUUUAUAUGAACAAAGAUUGCAGCAAACUUUAUUGACAUUAAGAUAAACAAUAGGCGAAUGCGUUAGCACAAGCAGAACAAGAUUAACAAAUAUGUUCUUGCUUAAUUAGUUUUCUUAUUGACAUUUGGUGUAGUAUACUUAUAAGAUAUACUUAUAUAUGUAUUAUAAGAUGGAACGUAAAUAUCUACGCAAAUGUU